rnacentral:rRNA from 1 species
GAUGAACGCUAGCGGGAGGCUUAACACAUGCAAGUCGAGGGGCAGCAUAGGGUAGCAAUACUCUGAUGGCGACCGGCAAACGGGUGAGUAACGCAUAUGCAACCUACCCUGUACAGGGGGAUAACCCGGAGAAAUUCGGACUAAUAUCCCGUAAUAAUAUCCGGAGGCAUCUUUGGAUAUUUAAAGUUCCGACGGUACGGGAUGGGCAUGCGUAACAUUAGCUGGUUGGUAAGGUAACGGCUUACCAAGGCUAUGAUGUUUAGGGGUCCUGAGAGGGUGGUCCCCCACACUGGUACUGAGACACGGACCAGACUCCUACGGGAGGCAGCAGUGAGGAAUAUUGGUCAAUGGGCGCAAGCCUGAACCAGCCAUCCCGCGUGCAGGAAGACGGCCCUAUGGGUUGUAAACUGCUUUUCCAGGGAGAGAAACUUACGCACGUGUUGCGUGACUGACGGUACCCUGGGAAUAAGCAUCGGCUAACUCCGUG